UUAGAGUUGAGUGGUCCCCUAGGGUUGAGUGGUCCCCACUGGGUUAUAGUAUUUAAUCCAAUGGUUAGAAAUAAUGAAAAGAGUUGAUCCAAAGGUUAAAAAACUGGUAGCAACAAUGGAAUUUUGCUACUAAUAGUAGACCAGUCCAACUCUAUUAAUAGUACCAACCACUUGAUAUUAGGUCUUCGGCCAUUGGAUGAAGGGAUGUGUGGUUAGGAUGAUAGUGAUUCCCUAGAGUUGAGUGGGUGGUUAAUUGAAUAAUAUGAUCUAUUGAGUGAAACUGAUCAAACAGAUAUAUCUAACUGCACAAAAUUUGACAGCAUUAAGCAUUUGGUAUUAUCGAUAAUAUAGUAGCCGGACUCUCUCUCUAUAUAUAGUCUGGCUAUUAUUAGGGCUCGCAAAUGAGCGAGCCGACUCGCGUUCGACUCGAUAUUUGGCUCGCUCAAGCUCGACUCGAAAUUAAAUGAGCCGAUCUUAAGCAAAAAAAAAUAUUCGAAAUUCAUUUCAAGCCGAGCUUGAGUAUUACUCGGCUAGUUCGAAUUAGGCUCGAAAAGCUCAAAUAUAUAUAUAGUAGAGCUACUAUGCUAUCGAAAGUAUAGAAAUCUGGUGCUUUCGAUUUUUUGAUUCUUAGAUCAAUCCCUUUAAUCGUUUCUUAUCUUUGGAUUAAUAUUAUUAUUACCUUGUAGGGACCACUCAAUCCUAAGAGUAAUAUUUAAUCUUAGAGGAGACCGCAAUCAUCCAAACCAUACAAUUUUUAACCAUUUAGAAUUAGGCUCGAAAAGCUCGAAAAGCUCGAAUAUAUAUAUAUAGUAGAGCUACUAUGCUAUCGAAAGUAUAGAGAUCUGGUGCUUUCGAUUUUUUGAUUCUUACAUCAAUCCCUUUAAUCGUUUCUUAUCUUUGGAUUAAUAUUAUUAUUACCUUGUAGGGACCACUCAAUCCUAAGAGUAAUAUUUAAUCUUAGAGGAGACCGCAAUCAUCCAAACCAUACAAUUUUUAAUCAAAUGGUCAAAAAUUCAAAAAUAUCAAAUUUUCUAUAUUUUGAUAGCAUAGUAGUUCUACACUAUAUAUAUAUAUAUAUAUAUAUAUAUANN
rnacentral:lncRNA from 1 species